GCAUUAGUAGCUCAGAGCCAGAGCACCGGUCUUGUAAACCGGACGCCGGAGGUUAAAGUCCUCCCUAACGCU
rnacentral:tRNA from 1 species